rnacentral:rRNA from 1 species
UGGGGAAUAUUGGACAAUGGGCGAAAGCCUGAUCCAGCCAUGCCGCGUGAGUGACGAAGGCCUUAGGGUUGUAAAACUCUUUCGUCGGGGACGAUAAUGACGGUACCCGAAGAAGAAGCUCCGGCUAACUUCGUGCCAGCAGCCGCGGUAAUACGAAGGGAGCUAGCGUUGUUCGGAAUCACUGGGCGUAAAGCGCACGUAGGCGGAUAGUUAAGUCAGGGGUGAAAUCCUGGGGCUCAACCCCAGAACUGCCUUUGAUACUGGCUGUCUCGAGGUCGAGAGAGGUUGGUGGAAUUCCUAGUGUAGAGGUGAAAUUCGUAGAUAUUAGGAAGAACACCAGUGGCGAAGGCGGCCAACUGGCUCGAUACUGACGCUGAGGUGCGAAAGCGUGGGGAGCAAGCAGGAUUAGAUACCCCUGUAGUCCCUGAGCGGGCUGGCAAGGCG